GACGAACGCUGGCGGCGUGCUUAACACAUGCAAGUCGAACGGAAAGGCCCUGCUUUUGUGGGGUGCUCGAGUGGCGAACGGGUGAGUAACACGUGAGUAACCUGCCCUUGACUUUGGGAUAACUUCAGGAAACUGGGGCUAAUACCGGAUAGGAGCUCCUGCUGCAUGGUGGGGGUUGGAAAGUUUCGGCGGUUGGGGAUGGACUCGCGGCUUAUCAGCUUGUUGGUGGGGUAGUGGCUUACCAAGGCUUUGACGGGUAGCCGGCCUGAGAGGGUGACCGGCCACAUUGGGACUGAGAUACGGCCCAGACUCCUACGGGAGGCAGCAGUGGGGAAUAUUGCACAAUGGGCGGAAGCCUGAUGCAGCAACGCCGCGUGCGGGAUGACGGCCUUCGGGUUGUAAACCGCUUUCGCCUGUGACGAAGCGUGAGUGACGGUAAUGGGUAAAGAAGCACCGGCUAACUACGUGCCAGCAGCCGCGGUGAUACGUAGGGUGCGAGCGUUGUCCGGAUUUAUUGGGCGUAAAGGGCUCGUAGGUGGUUGAUCGCGUCGGAAGUGUAAUCUUGGGGCUUAACCCUGAGCGUGCUUUCGAUACGGGUUGACUUGAGGAAGGUAGGGGAGAAUGGAGUUCCUGGUGGAGCGGUGGAAUGCGCAGAUAUCAGGAGGAACACCAGUGGCGAAGGCGGUUCUCUGGGCCUUUCCUGACGCCGAGGAGCGAAAGCGUGGGGAGCGAACAGGCUUAGAUACCCUGGUAGUCCACGCUGUAAACGGUGGGUACUAGGUGUGGGGUCCAUUCCACGGGUUCCGUGCCGUAGCUAACGCUUUAAGUACCCCGCCUGGGGAGUACGGCCGCAAGGCUAAAACUCAAAGGAAUUGACGGGGCCCCGCACAAGCGGCGGAGCAUGCGGAUUAAUUCGAUGCAACGCGUAGAACCUUACCUGGGUUUGACAUGGAUCGGGAGUGCUCAGAGAUGGGUGUGCCUCUUUUGGGGUCGGUUCACAGGUGGUGCAUGGCUGUCGUCAGCUCGUGUCGUGAGAUGUUGGGUUAAGUCCCGCAACGAGCGCAACCCUUGUUCACUGUUGCCAGCACGUUAUGGUGGGGACUCAGUGGAGACCGCCGGGGUCAACUCGGAGGAAGGUGGGGAUGACGUCAAGUCAUCAUGCCCCUUAUGUCCAGGGCUUCACGCAUGCUACAGUGGCUGGUACAGAGAGUGGCGAGCCUGUGAGGGUGAGCGAAUCUCGGAAAGUCGGUCUCAGUUCGGAUUGGGGUCUGCAACUCGACCUCAUGAAGUCGGAGUCGCUAGUAAUCGCAGAUCAGCAACGCUGCGGUGAAUACGUUCCCGGG
rnacentral:rRNA from 1 species